ensembl:snRNA U2 U2 spliceosomal RNA
AUUGCUUCUCGGCCUUUUGGCUAAGAUCAAGUGUAGGAACCCAAGGUUUUUGUUAUUGUUUUGUUUGUUUGUUUUUAAAGGCAGAGUUUCUCUGUGCUGUCCUAGAACUCGAUAUGUAGACCAGGCUGGCUUUGAACUCACAGAGACCCAACUGCUUUCUGGGAUCAAAGCUGCACACCACCACUACCCAGCUUAUUAUUGCUGGUUUUAUGUUUAUGGUUAAUGAAAC